rnacentral:ncRNA from 1 species
UUUUCGGGAAACACUAUUGGAAACGCCUGGUUGACAAACGGCCGUGCCCGCGGAAGAAACUUUAUAAUGGCUGUGAAAUUCCGUUCGAACACCGCAGCCACCCGGGCCGAAAACCUACGGGGCCGUCUCGGCAUGAAAGAAUGCCGGUUUUGCAAAAGUGCCACCGAAACUUUGGCACACAUAUGCCAGAAGUGUCCGGCAAAUCACGGCUUGGUAAUCCAGCGCCACAACGCAGUCGUAUCAUUCCUGGGGGAAAUGGCGCGGAAAGAAGGUUACCAGGUUAUGAUAGAGCCUAAGGUGUCAACCCCGGUCGGCGCGCUCAAGCCCGACCUACUUCUCAUCAAAGCCGACUCUGCAUUCAUUGUGGAUAUAGGCAUUGCAUGGGAAGCGGGACGCCCACUAAAGCUGGUCAACAAAAUGAAAUGUGACAAGUACAAGAUUGCCAUCCUAGCAAUUUUGGAAACAAUUCACGUUGGCCAUGUGAGACUUACGGCGUUAUUCUGGGCAGCCGCGGAUGCUGGCUCAAGAGCAACGACAAGGCGUUGGCAUCAAUUGGGCUCAAUAUCACACGGAAGAUGAAAGAACACCUGAGCUGGUUGACGUUUGAAAACACCAUCCGAAUUUAUAACUCAUUCACGAAGAACUGAGGUUUUUGUUUUCUUUUACCUUUUACCAUUUUUUAUUGUUACAUUGUUGUUAUUUGCUUUAAUCCUGCAUUUUACCGUCGGCAAUUCCAUCGUUAUUAUUACUGUUAUUGUUAUUAUUAUUACUAUUGUUAUUACUUUUACUUACUAUUGUUAUUACGAUUUAUUUCGUAUACUUACGUUAUUGUUACUACUACUUACUUUGCUCUCGCAAACGUUCGUUGUUGUUACUUUUGGACCAGGUUUAGAGAAAUCGCACGCACAGCGGAACUGGACCGCUUAAGCCAGAAACAGUAAAGUAACAAUAGCCAAAUGCCUCGUCAUCUAAUUAGUGACGCGUAUGAAUGGAUCAACAAGAUUCCUUCUGUCCCUAUCUACUAUCUAGCGAAACCACAGCCAAGGGAACGGGCUUGGCAAAAUCAGCGGGGAAAGAAGACCCUGUUGAGCUUGACUCUAGUCUGACUCUGUGAA